rnacentral:rRNA from 1 species
UGGGGAAUUUUUCGCAAUGGGGGAAACCCUGACGAAGCAACGCCGCGUGGAGGAUGAAGGCCUUCGGGUCGUAAACUCCUGUCGACCGGGACGAACGCUAUUGGGCCCAAUACGCCCGAUAGUCGACUGUACCGGUGGAGGAAGCCACGGCUAACUCUGUGCCAGCAGCCGCGGUAAUACAGAGGUGGCAAGCGUUGUUCGGAAUUACUGGGCGUAAAGGGCGCGUAGGCGGUCCUGUCAGUCCCUUGUGAAAUCCCCCGGCUCAACUGGGGAACUGCAAGGGAUACAGCAGGGCUUGAGUUCGGGAGAGGGAAGCGGAAUUCCGGGUGUAGCGGUGAAAUGCGUAGAUAUCCGGAGGAACACCGGUGGCGAAGGCGGCUUCCUGGACCGAUACUGACGCUGAGGCGCGAAAGCUAGGGGAGCAAACGGGAUUAGAUACCCCUGUAGUCCCUGAGCGGGCUGGCAAGGCGCAU